CCUACGGGGUGCAGCAGUGAGGAAUAUUGGUCAAUGGACGAGAGUCUGAACCAGCCAAGUAGCGUGAAGGAUGACUGCCCUAUGGGUUGUAAACUUCUUUUAUAUGGGAAUAAAACGUUCCACGUGUGGGAUUUUGUAUGUACCAUAUGAAUAAGGAUCGGCUAACUCCGUUCCAGCAGCCGCGGUAAUACGGAGGAUCCGAGCGUUAUCCGGAUUUAUUGGGUUUAAAGGGAGCGUAGGUGGAUUGUUAAGUCAGUUGUGAAAGUUUGCGGCUCAACCGUAAAAUUGCAGUUGAAACUGGCAGUCUUGAGUACAGUAGAGGUGGGCGGAAUUCGUGGUGUAGCGGUGAAAUGCUUAGAUAUCACGAAGAACUCCGAUUGCGAAGGCAGUUCACUGGACUGCAACUGACACUGAGGCUCGAAAGUGUGGGUAUCAAACAGGAUUAGAUACCCCAGUAGUC
rnacentral:rRNA from 1 species